CUUUUAAAGGAAAAUAGUAAUCCUUUGACCUUAGGAGUCAUAAUUUUUGGUGHAAAUCCAAGUAAAAGUAA
rnacentral:tRNA from 1 species